rnacentral:tRNA from 1 species
CAAAGGGUAGUUUAAGUAAAAUAAUAAUUUUGGGGAUUAUUGAUAAAGUAGUAACUUUUCCUUUGA